rnacentral:rRNA from 1 species
GUCGAGAAUCUUGGGCAAUGCGCGAAAGCGUGACCCAGCAAUGCCGCGUGUAUGAUGAAGGCCCUCGGGUCGUAAAGUACUGUCUCCCGUGACGAAAUUUGACGGUAGCGGGGAAGGAAGCCACGGCUAACUACGUGCCAGCAGCCGCGGUAAUACGUAGGUGGCGAGCGUUGUUCGGAUUUAUUGGGCGUAAAGGGUCUGUAGGAGGUUUGUUAAAUACGGGGUGAAAUCCCGAAGCUCAACUUCGGAAUUGCCUUGUAGACUGACGAACUGGAGUACCGGAGAGGUAAGCGGAAUACCAGGUGUAGCGGUGGAAUGUGUAGAUAUCUGGUAGAACACCAAAAGCGAAGGCAGCUUGCUGGACGGAAACUGACUCUGAAAGACGAAAGCAUGGGGAGCAAACAGGAUUAGAUACCCGAGUAGUCC